GUGCUCGCUUCAGCAGCACAUAGGCUAAAAUCGGAAUGAUACAGAGAAGAUCAGCAUGGCCCCUGUGCAAGGAUGACACGCACCUUUGUGAAGCGUUCCGUAUUUUA
rnacentral:snRNA from 1 species